rnacentral:rRNA from 1 species
GAUGAACGCUAGCGGUAGGCUUAAUACAUGCAAGUCGAGGGGCAGCACGGGUAGCAAUACCUGGUGGCGACCGGCAAACGGGUGCGGAACACGUACGCAACCUUCCCAAAACUGGUGAAUAGCCCUCCGAAAGGAGGAUUAAUACACCGUACCAUAAUGGAGUGGCAUCACUUUAUUAUUAUAGGCAGCAAUGUCGGUUUUGGAUGGGCGUGCGCCUGAUUAGGUAGUUGGCGGGGUAACGGCCCACCAAGCCUCCGAUCAGUAACUGGUGUGAGAGCACGACCAGUCACACGGGCACUGAGACACGGGCCCGACUCCUACGGGAGGCAGCAGUAAGGAAUAUUGGUCAAUGGACGAAAGUCUGAACCAGCCAUGCCGCGUGCAGGAUGAAGGCCCUCUGGGUUGUAAACUGCUUUUAUCUGGGACGAAAAAAGGGGAUUCAUCCUCACUUGACGGUACCAGAGGAAUAAGCACCGGCUAACUCCGUGCCAGCAGCCGCGGUAAUACGGAGGGUGCAAGCGUUAUCCGGAUUUACUGGGUUUAAAGGGUGCGUACGUGGGUAAGUAAGUCAGUGGUGACAUCUUCGAGCUUAACUUGGAAACUGGCAUUGA